rnacentral:rRNA from 1 species
GACGAACGCUGGCGGCGUGCUUAACACAUGCAAGUCGAACGGAAAGGCCCUGCUCUUGUGGGGUGCUCGAGUGGCGAACGGGUGAGUAACACGUGAGUAACCUGCCCUUGACUUUGGGAUAACUUCAGGAAACUGGGGCUAAUACCGGAUAGGAGCUCCUGCUGCAUGGUGGGGGUUGGAAAGUUUCGGCGGUUGGGGAUGGACACGCGGCUUAUCAGCUUGUUGGUGGGGUAGUGGCUUACCAAGGCUUUGACGGGUAGCCGGCCUGAGAGGGUGGCCGGCCACAUUGGGACUGAGGUACGGCCCAGACUCCUACGGGAGGCAGCAGUGGUGAAUAUUGCACAAUGGGCGGAAGCCUGAUGCAGCAACGCCGCGUGCGGGAUGACGGCCUUCGGGUUGUAGACCGCUUUCGCCUGUGACGAAGCGUGAGUGACGGUAAUGGGUAAAGAAGCACCGGCUAACUACGUG